rnacentral:rRNA from 1 species
UACGUAGGGUCCGAGCGUUGUCCGGAUUUAUUGGGCGUAAAGAGCUCGUAGGCGGUUCCGUAAGUCAGAUGUGAAAACUCAGGGCUCAACCCGGAGACGCCAUCUGAUACUGCGGUGACUGGAGUCUGGUAGGGGAACACGGAAUUCCUGGUGUAGCGGUGAAAUGCGCAGAUAUCAGGAGGAACACCGAUGGCGAAGGCGGCAUCCUGGACCGGUAUUGACGCUGAGGCGCGAAAGCUAGGGGAGCAAACGGG